AUUGAACGCUGGCGGCAGGCCUAACACAUGCAAGUCGAACGAGAGGCGGACGGGUGAGUAAUGUCUGGGCAACUGCCUGAUGGAGGGGGAUAACUACUGGCAACGGUAGCUAAUCCCGCAUACCAUCGGAUGUGCCCAGAUGGGAUUAGCUAGUCGGUGGGGGAACGGCUCACCUAGGCGACGAUCCCUAGCUGGUCUGAGAGGAUGACCAGCCACACUGGAACUGAGACACGGUCCAGACUCCUACGGGAGGCAGCAGUGUGGAAUAUUGCACAAUGGGCGCAAGCCUGAGGCAGCCAUGCCGCGUGUAUGAAGAAGGCCUUCGGGUUGUAAAGUACUUUCAGCGGGGAGGCGUUACCCGCAGAAGAAGCACCGGCUAACUCCGUGCCAGCAGCCGCGGUAAUUC
rnacentral:rRNA from 1 species